AACGAACGCUGGCGGCAGGCCUAACACAUGCAAGUCGAACGUGAAGCCACCUUCGGGUGGUGGAAAGUGGCAGACGGGUGAGUAACGCGUGGGAACGUGCCUUUCGGUUCGGGAUAACCCAGGGAAACUUGGGCUAAUACCGGAUACGCCCUCCGGGGGAAAGAUUCAUUGCCGAAAGAUCGGCCCGCGUCGGAUUGGCUAGUUGGUGGGGUAAAAGCCUACCAAGGCGACGAUCCGCAGCUGGUCUGAGAGGAUGACCAGCCACACUGGACUGAGACACGGCCCAGACUCCUACGGGAGGCAGCAGUGGGGAGUAUUGGACAAUGGGCGCAAGCCUGAUCCAGCCAUGCCGCGUGGGUGAAGAAGGCCCUAGGGUUGUAAACCCCUUUCAGCGGGGAAGAUAAUGACGGUACCCGCAGAAGAAGCCCCGGCUAACUCCGUGCCAGCAGCCGCCGUAA
rnacentral:rRNA from 1 species